UGGUGGCAGAUCAGCGGGGCGGUACGCGCAGCAGGAUAAAGCCACACUGUAUUUCAUCCAAAAAAGAACCAGAAAAGGGGGCGCAUCCCACCAUUUCUGGAGUUGCAACAACUUCGCCGGCCUGGUGUGCUGAUUUCUGAAAGCUGGCCGUGGCUGCACACCGGGAGAACCGGGACAUACGGAACUAAAACAGGGACCGUUCCCACUAAUCUGCAAGGUGUUGUGCUAGUUUUGGAAAGGAAGUGGAAAGAGAAACAACAUUGCCUCGGAGGAACUCUUAAGUGUUGGAAACUUCCCAGUAGAGCAUCGAUCGAGGACCUCCCGCCCACUUUACCUCAGUUCCACAAUACUGGAGGGGGGGGGAGAGAGAGAGUUCAGCAGGCGAUGCGGUGGAUGGAGCAACAAAGGCUAUAUGGUUAAACUGGAAGAGCUUCUUUGAUAAGAACCCAGCGCUCCUUUCUGUUCUUGCCUGCUAUUUUGUAAAGCACUUCUACGCCUAAACAGCAAAUCUACAGCUGCUUGGAUCUCGCUUUGGGGACCAAGCCAGGUUCUCCUUAGUGCAAACUCUCUCUGGCAGACAGGGAAUCGCCGCAGACGAGAAAUUGAUGCUUUGGCACGGAGAAGCGCACCACCAAUCCUCUAGUUUUGCGAAAGUCUCCUACUGCUGUGUAAGGGAGGUAGACUAGUUUGGACCGAAGUGGGAUUUCCAGAAGUUACAUGCGGGGUCUGUGUUGUGUCGAGUGAGCACUAUCCAUCUACUCUCAGGUUAUCAGACCAGAUCCGGAUAGUUGAGGUGCCAUGGCGGUGUAUGUGGGGAUAUGGGCGCUCCUGUUGGCGCUGAACAUUCAAGCUGGCAGUGGACAGAUGGUACAAAUGGACACCAGUAAGUCUGGCUUCGUGGGUUCACAAGUGGAGCUGCGCUGCGUUUUCAGCAACAGUAAUCCACCAGUCAAGAUCUCCCAAGUAACCUGGCAGAAGCUUCUCAAUGGCACCAAACAGAAUGUGGCCAUUGCCAACCCGGCCCUGGGUGUGUCUGUGCUGCCGCCCUUCAAGGAGCGGGUCAGCUUCAAGCAUGCAGCUGUUCGUCAUCGUACUCCCUCAUUGGAAGACACCACAAUUGUGUUCUCCAACCUGCAGCUGUCCGACGAGGCUGCCUACAUUUGCGAGUAUACCACAUUUCCUGCAGGCAACCGUGAGAGCAUGGUCAACCUCACUGUGUAUGCUCGGCCCAUGACACGUAUGACCUUGACAACCCCUACGAUUGUGGCUAGGGCUCAGAAGCGUAAAAUGACAGUUGCAACUUGUGUAUCUGCGAAUGGAAAGCCCCCAAGCGUGAUCAAAUGGGAUACCAGGUUGAAAGGCGAAGCCACUUACCAGGAGACUCGCAACCAGAAUGGGACAGUGACGGUCCGGAGCAACUAUGUGGUGAUACCGAGCCGCGAGACCCACAAACAGAAGCUCACGUGCAUCGUCACGUACCGAAAUGAGAAGAUCACAGACAGCGUGGUGCUCAACGUCCAGUAUGAACCCGAGGUGCAGAUCGAGGGGUUUGAUGGAAACUGGUACCUGAACCGUCAGAAUGUUCAGCUGACCUGCAGGGCUGAUGCUAACCCCCCUGUCACGAUCUACCAGUGGAAACUUUUGAAUGGCUCCCUACCCAGCAAUGUGGAAAUCAAGAACAACACCUUGUUCUUCAAGGGUCCUGUGACCUACGACUUGGCUGGGACGUAUGUCUGUGACGCUACCAAUGGCAUCGGGACUCGCACCGGCAUUGUGGACGUCAACAUCACAGAGAAGCCAAUGGCGCAGGGUCCCCCAGGUGGUGUUAUCGGGAUCCUUGGAGGUGUUGUUGCCAUUGGACUCAUCAUUGGCGUGGCUGUUACUGUUGUCAUGGUCCAUCGGCGGCAGCAGAAGACCCGCACUGAGACAGAUAAUGACCUCAUUGCUGUUGCUGCUGUUGCUGAUAGUUGUGUGACACAGGGUCCUGAGAAGCCAGAGUCCCCCACAAGGAAAGUAGAGGCUCCUGACCCCAGUCUAUCCCCUGCUGAUCCCUGUACUCCUGGAUCCUCUAUUCUGUUGCCUGCAUGUAAUGGUGGCCUGCAAGUGACAUACUUGAGCACACCAUUGUGAGUGCUGAAAGCAGCAAAUGAUCAAUAAUCAUUCACUAACGAGUCACACUGCACUUGAUGCCUAAAAUUUGAGCAAUUUCUCUUCUUGCUUUGACAGCAUACAGCAAAUAAAUACUUUGGAGUGAAAUUUAGGCUUUACAUAUCAAUCCGAUGAAUGGCAAAAAUAAACUCUUACAUCAAAUAACGACAAUGAUGUUUGGAAAAAAGAAAGAAUGAAAAUAAAGCUUGAUGAAAACAGUUCCACGACCAAUUAAACCUUAUCAGAAUUCUUUAGAUGGAAAAUCCAGCUCCACUUAGAGUUUAUCAGAUUCAGGGAGCUUGGACAGAGCAGAAUUACAAGGCGAGAUGAGAGUUAACAUACAUAUCAAAUUGUUAAUCAAACAGAAAUCCGCAAGCUUAUAGAGGCUUUGUUUUACAUAAGCUGAUGCUGAGUGAUAAUGUCUUUGACAGACCACACUGUCCAACCUCUCUCCUCCACCUCUUGCUCUUUUCCCUCCUUUUGUGUGCAUGACUCUCAUCAAAUAUGCAUGACAACAGUUGUGCCAGUGCUGUAAAUGUUGUUGUUUCCCACUAGUUUGGCAUGUAAUGCUUAAUGUAGUGAAAUGUGAUUCAAAGCUUUAAUUGUUCAUAUGAAUUUUUGUCAUUUUUCUGUGGCUUGUCAUCAAAUAUGUUCAGUGUCUUACUCAGAAACUGUUUACUUGUUCUCGUUUAACCGUCUAACUAUGUGGAUGCAGAAAAGUUGCAAAAGAAUGUGUGGGCCAUAUUUCAAUGUAGGGGGAUAUUCAUAGUUUUAUAUGAGUGUCUAAUGUCAGAGUAAAGGGGAAGCAUUUAGCCAGACUGUUUAAUUCUGCAUGUUGAUGAGCUGUUAAUCAAGCCUGGGCAUUUGAUAACAUGCCUGACUGCACCGCCAGUCACGCCUCUGUUUGCCCUAACAAAGCAGCACAUGAUGUGACUCAAAAUUGGUCAAUCCUAAUAAAUCACUGGCCCUUUAGAGGCUGCACUGGCACAAUAGUCAACUGAUUAUCAAAAUAGAUGGGCAUUGUCAAAGGCGAUGUUCUCAGAAUAAUAUGUUCAUCGCUCUGUCUUUUGCCCGGGUGUGAUGUAUGACCUCCAAAAUGCAGAAGAGCACUGCCAAUUGUGGCCAAAAAACCCCCCAUCUUUUGAGUGUUCCUGACAUACAGCUGGUGUUGACACAGUUGUAAAUACUUGCUCGCAUAAAUCACUUUGUUGCCAAUUUUCCAGUCAUAUUUACAACAGUAUCUGAAAAGUAUUGCAUGCAGAAUGUAAAACGGAUGUUUAACCAUGAGCCCAUGUCACGACACAACCAUGAUUAAUUUGAACUGAGCACAGGUUUCAAACUUGUUCUGAGACUGAAAUGUAGCAUAACUGGAGGACAUUUGGACAAACAAGAAGUACACAGUACUACUAAGUCAAUGAAGUUAGAUUUCAUUUUGAGACGUAACGUUAGCAGAAGUGAUUUGUGGAGACGUGAUUUGUUUUUGUGUACCCUUUGGUCUAUAAACCAGUCACCAGUGCUUUUCACUUUUGCUGUGUGGAGACCUUUUAAAUGUGAUAAAUGGUAAUUUCUUAAUGGACACCUUCUUGCUUUAAGCUGUAACCAAAGUAGAACUGUCUUUCUUGUCUUUCUGAGUCGCUCAACAUGGACUGUGUUGUACUCGGUGUGAUUUCAAAUUAUUUGCUAUUGUUAUUUAUGCAUAAAAAAAAGGUGCUUGGUUUCUCUGUACAGAACGUUAUACAUGCAGUACAAAUGUUUAUAACAAUCACCUUACAUCUAUGUUUUUGCAUAGUAGUGUGUGUACACUAGUAGCAUUGCCUGAGGUGUUGAAAAAGGUUUGAAAAGUGACUGUUUGUGUACAACUGUAAAGUUAAGUGUUCUAAAGAGCAAAAUUUUCCCCCAGCAACAGAAGUAGUUUUUGAUAAACUUGUCAAAGAACAAAAACACCAUUUUGCUUCAUUCUUGUUUUUUUCCUUUUUUCUCUUGUGAGAGGAGAAAAAAAAGCUGAGCUUUGCAGAGUAAUUGUUGUCCGCCUUUUGAAAAGAUCGGAGCUAGACAAAGCAUGAAAGUAAUUGCCUCCUAAAGAUCAAAUCACAUUUAUCCCGUCUUGCAAUUAAAAGUAUCAUUAGCAUUUAAAUUGCCAAAUAAGAUUGUGAUCAACAGAAAUCAAUGAGAGCACCGAGGAUCGGCUCAAACACUCCACGUUUUUUUCCACGAGCAGGGCUGCAGCCAUACGGUGGCUCUCUAAUCCAAACGCUUGUGGGAAUGCGACACUUCACUUUCUCUCACAUGAAGUGGACAGAAAGAGGGUUUUCUGUCACCUUUGAGAACAUCUUAAUUCUGAGUGUGAGCUCGAAGACUUCCUCAAUGGUGCGAAAAUUUCAGAUAGGAAAGUCACUUUUUUGUGAGUGCAUUGUAAAAGUCAUUUUCUUUGCUGUAAAUCUUCCCUCACAGACUACUCUUCUCAGUUUAAGGAUUAGUUAUGUUUUCUCCUUGCUAUCCCCUUUAAAUCUCCCCCUAAGCUGCCCUGAGCCUUUUGUAGCCAACAGAGCGAGGAGGAGCAAGGUCUUCAAGGUGGAUGUCUGAGUAGGAAACACUGCAAACUUGAAUGUAGCUUAUGGUUCCCUGCCCAGUGCUUUCUGCUCCCCACGGGCUUGUGUUGCUUGUCAGCUUUCAUUAGUGUCUGCGUUUUCACAGAGCCAACGCCCCCAUGCUGCCUGCAUCACAUUCAGCACUAAGGAAGUACGAGAUGCACAUGUGGUGGUCAAGCUGUGCGGGACCGCAACGUAGCUUAUUAAUGACUGAUUGAGAUCGCAUCAUCUGCAUUCCUGAAAAGCGCACAGAUCUGUAGCAGUGAAUAUGUCGCUCAUUUUUACAUGUGAAAGUACAAAUAUUAGUAGAAAACAUCUCUAAUAUUCAGUCUUUUUCAGGGGGUUGAUAUAUUAUGCAUUACACCUUUUCAGAUUCCAAAAUCGUAGUUUGAACAAAAAGCAGGAAUUUUAAACCAAGAGCAUGUGCACAUAUUAAAACAUAUUUUUUAGUUUAAAACUAACCCAACUUACUUGCUGUGAGAAUAAUAAUGGAUUUUCUGUGUGAAUAAAUGUGAGCUUGAUAUCAAUAUUUCAGGUAUGUUCAUUCUGCUUCUACUUCCUAAUAAUGUGGUUUAGAUGGCCAUGGAUAACAGCUGGCUAAUUUAAAAUCUGUCUGAUCCUCUGACCACUUCUUUUGGCACAACACAGAGUGUUGCGGUGGAAGAUCUGAGCAAUUACUUAGAGUUCCAAAUUAUUUUUGCUAAAGGAAAUUAUGGACCUCAACUAAGACAUUCAAACCCAAACUAGAAUAAACAGUAAUCUUCAAGAUUAUGAUUGCUUAUUUUCCUUGAUUUUUGAUUGUGGUGCUAAUGGACACUGGUUUGACUCACAGUAAAACAGAGACAGUGGAUAGAGUUGUUUUUGGAUAUUUUUCAAAAGUGGCUGCUACAUCGUAACAUGCAACCAUUAAAUCUUAAAAAUACAUUUUACUUUUGACCUUUUCUUGUUUUUUUUUCUACUUCCUCCCCUACAAGUAUAGUUCAUUAAUAAUAUACAUACCAAGUUCUUUAUAUUAUUAAUAUCAAAUAUGGAAUUGUGAUGCCGACUGAAUGACCGGCCACACACAUGCUGUAUAUCUAUCUUGGUAUUUUCUUGCGUGAGCUGUAGCUGUAGCUGUGCUAUAUGUUUUCCCUCUCUGCACACACAGCACUUCAUGAAAUGCUUGUGCUACUUUUUGGUCUGCUUUCCCGCCCUUGUGUCAAACAGUAGUGACAGUCUAUGCACUGAUGUUCUCCUGAGACUGCUUCUUGUGUGUAGUGUGAUUACAAAAGUAGCUGGAUUCAAUCAAGAAAGGGAGGUAUGACAGGGAGAAAGUUGUUGCCGUGGGGUGGUAGUCAUGAGACGAGGGAAUUUCUUCAUGUUUGGUCAGAUUUAAUAAACUCACUCUGCAUAAGGGGCCCCAGCACACUACCUAUUUGAACAAGCUCCUUUGCAAUAAAAUGCAAUCGUUGGAGGUCCUAUGGGAUCAAACGUAAGUCCAAAAAAAUUCAGCAAAUCAGAAUGCAAAUGGUGCAUCAUACAUAAAAAAAAAUCAGAUUUCAUCCUGCUUGAAUAAACCUGUCGAAUCCCGAUGAUGCAUAACUGAUUUAUCUCAAACUACAGUAAAAUCAAAAUCCAGUCGGGCAUAAUGUUGUAAUGCUGCAUGUCCUUUUAUAAAAUUCCAGUUAGGUCAUUGCAUGAUGCUCAUUAGUGUUAUGUUUCAGCAAACUGAAAAAAGGCUGUUAUUUGUUGUCUCACAUACACGAGACAGACAGAAGCAAAAAAUUACACUUAGUAUCACACAUUUCAUGGAUACAAAUGAUCUUGUCUUGUCUUAAGUUCUCACCUGUAUCAGAAUCCAGUCAGUCAUAAGCAGUGAAUUAUAAUACUUUAUAAUGAGCACACUGCUGUACCUGUGAAAACCGCAUUCCCACAAGACUCAUAAUUAUCUGUCUCAGAAAAAAAUGGAUGUUUCUCUUCUCAAGACUCUACAGCGGAAGGCGUUAUUGUUGAAGAGCUAGUGUGCUGCACGCUGCCUUUCUGUGCAUUUGCUGUGCCUCUGUGCUGCAGGCAGGCUGAGGAGGGUGCCACAUGAAUCUGGCAGUGGCACGGCAGCCCUGUCUGGAGACAAGGUGAUACGGACUGGAAAUAAUGAGCGUGAAAGAAAGAGUUAAGAGGUGCACUCAUGCACAAAUUUUCUGCACAUUAAAACGGCAGCAUGGCCUUGCGGAAAGGUCAUGUUAUUCAAUAAGGACGUGAACCAGUGCGAAUGGGAGGCGGGAGGAGCUGGAGAUAAUGCAUGUAGGUACACAGCUCAGUGUCUGUGCUCCACUUCAUUAUCUUUGAUCACUCCUGAUAUCAUGUCAGAAUACGACAGAUGACAUCUGACUGCCAGCGUGUUUGAGGCAAGGGGUUUUCUUUAUAAUGAUUCCGUAGCAACAACCCUUCUGCUUCCUUGUCUGAAAUAAUUAUACAGAUACACAUCAAACUAUUUCAACAGAAUGCUUUCAGUUACCGCUGUCUUUCCUGAUCACAUUUUAUUUCAGUAAUUUUCUAUAAUAACUCAGAAUGACUCUGUACAGAGUGGCUUUUACCUCCAUCGAAAUUUGAUUGUUGUUGAUUUACAGAAAACGGUUGCUUACUCCAUUGUUAAUAGCGGCGUGUAAACGAGCACAGGUGUUCAGUUUUUGAGGCUUUGUUCUUACCCAGGUGUGCCAACAGAGGGGUGGGGUGAGUGCCUUGGGAUUAGAGGAUGUUAGUACCAGGGCUCCUGGUGGAGAGCUGAAGCCGCCUGCCGAGCUCUCCGUGUCACAGCUCAGGACUAUAUGUCAAACAAACAGUCGCUGCACAGUAGGCAGGGUGUUUGUCCACGUGGCACUCUGGAUGAGGCUCAAACCACCCUUGACUCACACAUGCCCUUCUCCCUGCCCCCUAUACCCCCUCCAUUCCUAUCUCCUCACUUCAGUCCAAUUACAGCCUACUCUCAUUAGCACAGUGUCUCUCCAGCGAGAGCCUUUGAAAGGGCAGGGAUGGCUGCUGCUGCAACAAAGCCACCAACACGAGAUCUAUCAAAAUCCAAGGAAAGAGUGAAAAAGGACUGACCUCCCACCUGCGCACAAACCAGCCCCUCCUCCACCCAAAAAGAAGAACAGUGACAUGAAGGGACACUUGACAUCUGAUGACAUCCAG